rnacentral:rRNA from 1 species
AGUCGAACGAUGAAGCUGGAGCUUGCUCUGGUGGAUUAGUGGCGAACGGGUGAGUAACACGUGAGUAACCUGCCCUUGACUCUGGGAUAAGCGUUGGAAACGACGUCUAAUACCGGAUACGAGCUUCAGCCGCAUGGCUAGGAGUUGGAAAGAAUUUUGGUCAAGGAUGGACUCGCGGCCUAUCAGCUUGUUGGUGAGGUAAUGGCUCACCAAGGCGACGACGGGUAGCCGGCCUGAGAGGGUGACCGGCCACACUGGGACUGAGACACGGCCCAGACUCCUACGGGAGGCAGCAGUGGGGAAUAUUGCACAAUGGGCGAAAGCCUGAUGCAGCAACGCCGCGUGAGGGACGACGGCCUUCGGGUUGUAAACCUCUUUUAGCAGGGAAGAAGCGAAAGUGACGGUACCUGCAGAAAAAGCACCGGCUAACUACGUGCCAGCAGCCGCGGUAAUACGUAGGGUGCAAGCGUUGUCCGGAAUUAUUGGGCGUAAAGAGCUCGUAGGCGGUUUGUCGCGUCUGCUGUGAAAACGCGAGGCUCAACCUCGCGCCUGCAGUGGGUACGGGCAGACUAGAGUGCGGUAGGGGAGAUUGGAAUUCCUGGUGUAGCGGUGGAAUGCGCAGAUAUCAAGAGGAACACCAAUGGC